ensembl:ncRNA F37D6.8 ncRNA
CACCAAAUUGGUGGGGGCGAAGAGUAUUUGUGUGAGUGUGUGUGCCAAUGGUGGAGCUUUGAAGAAGAGCCUAAAUCCGGAUGGGAAGAAAAAGAAGAAAACGGAAAGGGGUUGCGAAAAAUUAGCGAGCUUUCUUUGUGGGUGG